rnacentral:rRNA from 1 species
UACGAAGGGGACUAGCGUUGUUCGGAAUCACUGGGCGUAAAGCGCACGUAGGCGGAUGUGUCAGUCAGGGGUGAAAUCCCGGGGCUCAACCUCGGAACUGCCUUUGAUACAGCACGUCUCGAGUCCGGAAGAGGUGGGUGGAAUUCCUAGUGUAGAGGUGAAAUUCGUAGAUAUUAGGAAGAACACCGGUGGCGAAGGCGGCCCACUGGGCCGGUACUGACGCUGAGGAGCGAAAGCGUGGGGAGCGAACAGG